UACGAAGGGGGCUAGCGUUGUUCGGAAUUACUGGGCGUAAAGCGCACGUAGGCGGAUAUUUAAGUCAGGGGUGAAAUCCCGGGGCUCAACCUCGGAACUGCCUUUGAUACAGCACGUCUCGAGUCCGGAAGAGGUGAGUGGAACUCCGAGUGUAGAGGUGAAAUUCGUAGAUAUUCGGAAGAACACCAGUGGCGAAGGCGGCUCACUGGUCCGGUACUGACGCUGAGGUGCGAAAGCGUGGGGGAGCAAACAGG
rnacentral:rRNA from 1 species